AACGCGAAGAACCUUACCAAGGCUUGACAUCCCUCUGACCGAUUUAGAGAUAGAUCUUUCCCUUCGGGGACAGAGGUGACAGGUGGUGCAUGGUUGUCGUCAGCUCGUGUCGUGAGAUGUUGGGUUAAGUCCCGCAACGAGCGCAACCCUUAUCUUUAGUUGCCAGCAUUUAGUUGGGCACUCUAGAGAGACUGCCGGUGACAAACCGGAGGAAGGUGGGGAUGACGUCAAAUCAUCAUGCCCCUUAUGUCUUGGGCUACACACGUGCUACAAUGGUUGGUACAAAGGGCUGCAAGCCAGCGAUGGUUAGCCAAUCCCAUAAAGCCAAUCUCAGUUCGGAUUGUAGGCUGCAACUCGCCUACAUGAAGUCGGAAUCGCUAGUAAUCGCAGAUCAGCAUGCUGCGGUGAAUACGUUCCCGGGCCUUGUA
rnacentral:rRNA from 1 species